rnacentral:tRNA from 1 species
GGCCGAUUCGUCUAAGAGCAAGACGCUUCUUUCACAUGGAAGAGACGGGGGUGCAACUCCCUCAUUGGUCA